rnacentral:rRNA from 1 species
AUUGAACGCUAGCGGCAUGCUUAACACAUGCAAGUCGAACGAGUGGCGGACGGGUGAGUAAUAUAUCGGCACGUGCCCAGUAGCGGGGGCUAACUACUCGAAACAGUGGCUAAUACCGCAUACUAUUGGAGCGGCCUAUAUCGGAUGAGCUUGUUGGUGGGGUAAAGGCUCACCAAGGCAACGAUCCGUAGCUGGUCUGAGAGGACGACCAGCCACACUGGGACUGAGACACGGCCCAGACUCCUACGGGAGGCAGCAGUGGGGAAUGUUGGACAAUGGGGGAAACCCUGAUCCAGCCAUCCCGCGUGUGUGAGAAGGCCUUCGGGUUGUAAAGUACUUUUGGCAGAGAAGCGGUAUCUACAGAAUAAGCACCGGCUAACUACGUGCCAGCAGCCGCGGUAAUAA